UUGAAUUGCAAUUUAACAAUGCAAUAAUAUUCAAAAUUGUCUUGGAUUGACACUAUAUAUCUAAUUUAGAUAAAAAAAAAAAGAUAACUGAAAGAAUCAAAAAGGAAGAAUUGAAAAAAAAUUCCGGGUUUUUUAGUCCAUAAUGUAUUUCAUGAAUCUAAGUGGAAUAAGCAAAAUAGAUUCCUUGAUGGGUAGUUGAGCUGCAAUAAAAACCACACAAUUGAAGGAAAUGUCCGAAUUUUAUAUUUAGUAGAUCAAUAAACUGAGGUUUUGUCUGUCAUUUU
rnacentral:lncRNA from 1 species